GACAGAGGCCUCAAGCGUUAGGCGGAAUCACUGGGCUUAAAGCGUGUGUAGGCGGAUCGUUAAGUGUCUUGUGAAAUCCCACGGCUCACCCGUGGAACGGCUGGGCAUACUGGCGAUCUUGGGCCAACUAGGGGGCAACUGGAACAAGCGGUGGAGCGGUGAAAUGCGUAGAUAUCGCUUGGAACGCCGAAGGUGAAAAACAGUCUGCUGGGGGGGUGUGCCGACGCUGAGACACGAAAAACCAGGGGAGCGAACGGG
rnacentral:rRNA from 1 species